rnacentral:sRNA from 1 species
AAAACAAAACACAACAGACUCAUCGUUUCUCAUUGGAUCAGUGCUGGGGCUUCAAAGAGGCCUGCUCAUCCCCAUGCUCUUGCGACCCUUUGCCGGAUGCCUCCCUACAGCAGCCGUGCAGAACAGAACUCUUUCUAAAACGUCACCCACAGCAGACGCCAGUGCUUCAGCCAUGGCUUGAACGUUCUCACGUCUCCCACUAUUAUCUGCAUCUGAGUUCUCUUUACUCCCCUUAAACUACGACCGUGAAAGAGAGCGAUUUCUACAUCAUUUAGUUAUUUAUCUCCGUAAUACUCAGGAGUGAAAUUUUUAAAAGUGGCUACCAUUACUCUUGCUGCUAACAAUUGGCAGCUAUCCUGGGGAAGUGGUACGCGGGAUGAAAUGAGCCCCUGUAGGAAACAUGGCCUUUUCUUGUUUCUAAUAUUUUUUCGUCUUUGGUGUCAUCAGUCAAAUUAAUCUAUUUUCUCUUUCCACAUGACUCUCCAAAGUGAGAGAGAAGUUAAGGGUUUGAAGAGGCUGUUCUGGGCUUCCCACUGAACAUGGGGCUUAGGAUGUGGCUGGGCACCUGCUUCCCUUAACCCCUUGAGAUCUGAGAAUUCAGAACCCUUUCCUGUAGCCUAGCAAAAACAAAAACAGGAACAAACAAGGUGGGGGUGGGGUAUGUGGUGGCAUGGGGUGGGGGAUGUAUUACAGAAUACCAGUGCUGGUAUCAUGUUUCUCUUCCCCAUCUCCAUGUCCUAUUCCUCUUCUUCAUUUAUUAUUGUUUUAAAAAAUAACUCAUUGUGUCCAAUUAGUGGUACCUAUUCAUGGCACCAUCCACUAGAGCUUAAAAAAUACACAGACUCUACCUCAUGCUCAUGUAUACUCGAGGGUACAGACCUGACAGUAUACAGAAGACAAGAGAGAACAAUGUAAAGGGCUGAGAGAAAUACAAGUUCUGAGACUUGGGGAGGCACGGUCUCUAUGUAGGAUCCGUGAGUGCCCGGGCAUACUUGGAACUGACACCCGCCGGGACCUACAGGAUGGAGACCUAGCAGGUUAUUGAUUUUGCAGGUGUCUGAAUUUGAAGUGACAAAUUACUUGGUUACAGUCAGCUUUAGUGUUGCCUUCUUUACACAACUACACUAACACAUUUCUAGGCAACUUUGAGGACUCUUAAAAUUAAAACGUUUUAUAAAUAACAAAGCCACAGAGGGAAAACCAGGUGUAUUUACUAUUAUCAAAGUUCAUCUCCAUGUGCGUGUCUGAACAUAGCAACAGCAGCACAGAGGGAUCGCCUCAGUUACCCUGCUCCUCUGGAUCAUUUAGCUGCUGGCUAUGGUAUAGAGCUUCCAUGGUAUAGGACUUCUAUGUUCUAGAACUCCCAUGGUAUAGAACUUCUAUGGUAUAGAACUUCUAUGGUGUAGAGCUUCCAUGGUGUAGAGCUUCUUGUUCCAUCUCUGACUCCUUCCCCUUGCCCUCUGCUACAUGUGCUAUUCCCUCCAUCCCAUGCCAUUCAGAGAACACAGCCCUACACUCCUGCAGAGGCAGACUCAGGUACCUCACAUCUCUGUGUCUAAUCCCUUUGGGGGGGGGGUGAGGAUACACAGCCACCAAGUCUUGUGAAGCUAUGCCAGCCAUCUCAGCCAUUCCCCCGACACAUUCGUGACAUCCUCCUGCCGUAGAGGCUGAGGAUUUAUGUGACUUUAAUUGAAGGCUACAGAAGGGACAGGGAAACAUCAGCUCCUAUCAAUCACCGCGUCCCUUGCUUUCAUUGUGUACUUAACAGCUUGUUACUUAUUCAGGAGGGGGAUUCUGCACUGAGUCUGUCUCCGUGCAAACAGUCUUCCCAGGCUGAAGAAAGCCCUGAAACAGGGAGGUGGCCUCAUUAGGCACACAGGCCUGUGCCGCAUACCGAAACAUGGAGACACAGUGCUGAUGACCACGACUACAGUGGGGGAGUCAAGGGUUCCAGCAUCCUCCCGCUUUCCUGUCUAUGUCCCCGCAAGACUUCCCAGGCGUGUUUGACACCAUGGCCCUUUGUUGUGUUUUCAAAGCGAUCCUUGCUUGGCUCUUCUCAACAAUGAACUCUGCGACUGUUUAACUGAAAUCUCCUAUGGGGGGAACUUGAUGUCUGGUUUACUGUGCUCUCUUACAGAAUGCCUGCAGCACAGCAGACCCCUGAAGGAGCGAGCAUACGGCUGCAUGCACGUGAGGAAUGCUAACACUCAGUCUUGGUUCUGACUCCCCUUUUACCUUACGCCUCUACGCCAUCUGUAGAGGCUUGAGGACCCUUCAUCUUUAUCUUUUCUAAGGGCCAUCCUUUAGGGGGCUCAUUCAAGACCCAGUACGGUUAUCACCCGGCUCUCAGGUACUGCCUUGGCGUGUGAUGCUGAACUGUUCCUCCUGACCCCCAGGCAGAUCUCAGUCCCAAGUUUACCCGCCCAAGGUUUUGCUUCCCAACUUAGCUCAGCCCACUACCCUGGUGGUCGAAGUUAGGUUCCUACUUGCCAGUCGUUUCCCACUGAGCUACUGAUGUGUCUGACCCUGCGGACAGGCUCUUCUGUGAACCAAGGAAGAUGUCACCUGGGAACCAGUUAGAGGUCGCUUGGGCCUUUGUGUGGUCUUUAAAAUAAGGGGGUUUGCAAGCCAAUGAUGCGUAUUUUCUUAAUCCGUUUCACACAGAAGAAGGGGUUUUAGUGUGAGAUUUGCAAUCUUGUUCUUCAUCUAUUUCCCUAUUUCAACCUGACUACCUGGUUCAAAUUACCAACUGAUACCUGGGUAGGUUAUCAUGCAGAGAUAAGUGCCCCCUGCCCCACUGCGCCCCCAACAAUGGAGCAAACAUGACGGUCACCAUACAUGUGACUUCAGUAGUCCCUGGUGGGUGGGCAUGGAGUGACAGUGACCAUCAUGAGCCAACACAGUGAGCCUACAACCUUGAGCUGAAUAUACAAGGUUCCCAUGGGUCUGACACGCCCCGGGGAGUUUCCAUUCCUCUGCCCUAAACCUCUAGGGUUACUGGGAAUUUCUCCAAGGGCACAGGGAAGUGCUUGUGCUUGGAUUCAGAUUCCCCAAACAACAAGGAAAAAACCCAGGGGGCUCAGCGAGCCCCUCUGGAGGUCUGAACAGGUGAGACUGGCAGCUCUGCCUUGGGUUCCACUGGUGGUGGCCGAGUUGGCAGCCAUAGAGAUUUGCUGUGGCAGAAUACUUAAAGAUGUUCACACAGAGGGACAGAAGGGACAGUCGUUCAUUGUCCUCCUAUGGGACUCCAUCACUUGAAAAGUAAGGCCUAGAAAUUACAAUAUCAGCCGACUUCCAUACAUCCAUUUCCUUCACAAUGGUUGGCAUAUGCUGAGAAGGGAAUGCUCGGAGGGGCUGCUCACCACCACCCGGCCUUGCAAAGAACAAGGACACAGGAAGGAAGAAACGCAAUCACUAGCCCAAGGAAGAGACACCCAGGGAUGGGCACCAUUGUGUAGGAUGAGGUGAGGGAUAAUACAAAUUAUGAUUUCAGACCCUGGUAGGCAAGCUACACCAUGUUCUUUUCACAUCUGAAUCUCUGUACAGCAUGUUCUUGGUGACUACAGUCAAGGUCCUUGGAACACUCACAGUAGCUUACUUGAGUUUUUAAAAAGCCAGGUAUAAAUAUCAAUGCUGCUGCAGAGUACGCAGAAUAAAAUUUAACAUCUUUUGAGGGAGUCUUACUUCUGAGGCGCUGUUUGAAGUGCUUUAAGUGUCCUAUCUCGUUAGAUUUACAAUUCGCCAUCCUGUGAAAUCAGUCCUGUGGUCUCUGCCCUUUGCCAUACGAUCACAGACAGGCCCUGGGCAUGGCAAGUUUCUGGGAACAUACAGAUACUGAGCCAUGAAGUUGAGGGAGACUCUUCCCUUCCUUCUUUCCUUCUGAAGAUAAGGAGGGUCUCCCAGCAGCUGGGCUCUAGCUCACCCCCACUAUCCUCCUGGUUCAGCAGGUCAAGUACCAGAAUAAGGAGGCUGGAGCUUAGCUGACUGCCCCAUCUCAGGAGAACUACAGAGCAAGCAUCAGGAAGACAGGCAUAUACUCUGAGCCACAAGAGGAAGCCAGCAGAGAAACCUGUGUGUCCCACACAGAAUAGCCCUUGGAAAAGUGGUUUUACAUCAGGUCAGUUUCGCCUUUAAUGUGUUUGUUGGCCUCCUGCUGAGACAGAAUAGGUUCACCUUGUGAGCAGGCAAGCUCAGGCUGCCAGCCCUCAGCUCUUCAGAGCCACCCAGAGUUUUCCCAGGGCAAAGGCUUCCUGUCUCCCUCCCUUCAGUGUCCCCUACCUAGCUCUCAUGGUGGCAGCCUCUAUACCUAAAAUAUCAUAGUGCCUCAUGUCCCCCCAGUCCUCUCUGGGUUCCCUUAGUCCCCCCACCCCCGACCCAUACGCCCUGAAACCCAGCAAACCUGACCCUGCCUACAGUUGCCCAAUUGACGCAGAGCACAGUUCCGAACCCGUUCUCUCCCAUGCCUCUUUGGAGACUUUUCUUCCCUGUGAGCCACUCCGAGGCUACCACUCACACCUGUUUCAGUGUACCAGGCUGGCACGAUGCUUCAUGUCCUUUGUGGACACAGUGUGGCUUCUUUGGAAGCUUUUUUCAGAAUGGUCUAUGAAACGCCCCACUCCCCACAGCACCAGCCCAGCCUCAGCCUGGCUAUGGAAGCUGGGUGUGUCUGGGGUCCUGCAAGCGGUACCAGAGAGGCAAGGGUGGGAAAGCACCUCCCCCACUUUCCAGAGGCCAAUCAUUGUCUAAGGUAACCGUGAUUCCAAGUACAUGCCCUUUCACAGCUGGCCCACAUUCCAGGACAACAUCCAACAGAGAGCAGAGCCCUUCCAAAGGCAGAAUGAAUGGCUUUCCCGGUAUUAACUCCCUGGUGUUUAAUGUCCGUGGACUCUGCAGAGAGCCACCUCCGAGAAUCCUGCAGGCAUAAUUGCCUUUCUUGCACUAGACCAGACCUCCGCAUCUCAAUGUGGUUGUGGGGCACUGCCCAGAAUUAAGAACUACAGGAGUCAAAGAGACACAGCUGGAUUACUGACCCUAGAAGGACGGGGCGGCCUGCCUGCUCCAGACCUUGCUGGGAGGUGAAGGCUAUCGUGGGAAAAUGACUACGUAUGAGAGACAAGGAGAGUCCACUAGUGAGAGAGACAAUGCACUUAUUCUACGACGGGGUGGACUGCCUCGUCCUCAUUAAUGGUGGAAACUGAAGAGUAAUACUCCAUUUCACUAGGGACUGUUGUUAAAACAAGUCUCAAAGAGGAUAUAAGGAAUGGAACCAUUACCAGACCUGCAACCCACUGAUGAUGCAGAAGCCACUCGGCCAGGAAAACAAGAGAAGGGGCAACAGAGAAGUGAGAGGUGAGGGAGAGGCUUGCUUGGGGUAUGCUGGGUCGGGGCUCACUGGGGUCGGGGCUAGCUGGGGCCAGGCCGAGAAACAGAAGCUGUGCACUGAAGGCCAGUGUUGUGAUGAACUAAGACAGUCCUUUCAGUUCCACUGGGAAACAGUUUCAAGUGGCCAUCACCAUCUGAAGGCCAGGUAUGGGAACUCAUUUUUUCUUCAGAGUGUGGAAUGGGUGCCAGAACCCUGACAACUGUACACCUCAGGAAUGGCUGCCGUGGAGAGUGGGGUGCUCUCCUCGCAGCUUAGUGCUGACUACUCCUGAGGCCUGGGCUGGGUUCUGGGCUGGGAACCUAUAAGCCAAUCCACCUUUCUGGAACACAGAGAGCAUGUAUAAGAAAGCCAGAAUACUCUCCCAGACGUCACUGGAACCAUCUACUGUGCUGCGGUGACAGAGGCCCUGCGAUGUCUGACCCCUCAGAAACUCUCGCUGACUUCUGCCAUGUUCACAGUGAAGUCUGCCCUCCCAGAUGCAAAUCUCUGAAGCCAGAAAACCCCUCCAGGUUUCUCCUUUUCAAACUGUGGCCAGAGGGUGGCAAUCAAAACUAAUUCAAUAGGACACACCGUGGGGAGGGGAUGGGGCUGCAUGCACAGACAGGUACAGUACUGAAGUCGAAUGAGUUUUCACAAGACUGACUGUUUCUGAAGACAUAUCAAGAAAUGUGUUCUGUGGAAGAGGAGCUGGGCAGCCCUUUCCUGAAGAAAGAGACAGACACGUCACAGGAGAUGGGACAGCUGUGCAUUUGCCCCAUGGGACCAGCAUGACUUCCCACCUGGCUGAGUGCUCACCACACAGGUGAGCCUGGCUUCUGGCUCAUUCCUGUGUGUGCUUGCGAUUCUUGUGUAUCUUAAGCUUCUGCAUGGUAUGGAGCGCUGACCAGGAGGUUGGUACUAUCUAUUGAGUCAGUUAAUGAGCCUGGUCACUCCUCCUAAUGUCCUGGUUCUGACACAACCUUCUGUCCCUGCAGAAGGCUUCAUCUUGGCAGCAGGUGUGGACUCUUCUUGCCAGUGUGGCCUGACCAGAGACAUUUCUACCUCCUGUUAUUUUCUAGAUCCCCGUGAGUGCUCAUCAUCCAACAUGAGGGCCAGCACUGCAUCUUCUGAGACAAGGCAGAUGGGGAGAAGUUCAAGGGGACAGUGUCACACUGUCUGUCUGGAUGCUGUGUGUCCUCCCAAGGCAAUCUCUAAGAACCAUGCCAAGGCUUCUUAAAAAUGUCCAGCUCAGGUUUCUCCACAUGGAGGGAGUGAAGUUCAGGCCUUGAGCUUUUACUAAAGAGUUUACUUUUUUAUUGACUAGUGAAGCAGGCUCCCUUAGGGUUGUCGAGGCCAGGGAAGGGGGAGGUAAUUUUAUGCUUAUAUGGUGUCCGUUAGUCUCUGGGUGCCAUGACGCCCUCCUUCCUAACCAUGGAGCUGUGCUCUGUCUUAAGAGUAACUAAGGGCUCACAGGGAGGUGCCAUUCACAUGGGUGAAUUUGAUCCUCACCAUGUGAGGUACCUGUUCAGGGCCUGUUCUUCUGUUUCCUAGCUUGCCUUCCUCAUCUACAAUCUGUGGAUACUCUCGACGCCUACCUCUGUACUCACGCCAACAAGCUGGUGAGUUCUGCCCAGGGAUGGAGACCCAUCUGCAUAGAGAGCUGCUCUGCUGAGCUACCAAACACUCCUUCCACCUUGAUACACUCGGGAGGCUCCGAUAACUUCCAGGACAGCACAGGAUUUGAACCUUGUGACUAUGGAUGGUAUGCAGCUAGUGAGAGCGACUUCAUCCUACAGUGGCCAUGAGAUGAUGGAUGGACAGCAGAUGCUAUCAAUCUAUGGAUUCUCUGAACUGAAACGACCAAGCCUCUUACUAAGAUAAUAGAUCUUUCUACUUUCUUGAUCAUGGAAAGACAUACAAUAUCGUAAAAUCUAGAGACUUCUACUUAUAACCUAAUCGCUCUUAACCCACAAGAGUUAGUUCUUGGGUUGGAAGCUCCAACAGCUUCCCUACACCACCUACAAGGCCUCGGAUGCAGAAGCCUGCUGAUAAUGUCCACCUUCAAGACAAUAGCUGUAAGUCCUCCGCCUUCUGGGACAUUUGGAUGGAGACUGUCUUAGUUAAGGUUUUCACUGCCGUGAUAAAGACCAUGACCAUAAGCAACUCUGGAAGAAAGAGGUAACCCCAGUUCAUAUGUCUCAGGGAUACCAGGACAGGGACUUAAGGCAGGAGCCCAGUGCAGGGGCUAAAGCAGGGGCCAUGGGGGACUGCAGCUUACUAGCUUGCUCCUCAUGGUUUGCUCAGCCUGCUUUCUUAUAGAACCAGCCCAAGAGGUAGCAUUACCUACAAUAACCUGGGUGUUCCCACAUCCAUGUUCUGUUCUAUUGAUAUAGACAGUCUCGGUAAUAGCAACACUUGGAACCAAACACUGCUCAGAAUAGAUUAUGUAAGACCCCUUCCUUUAAUCAUGACCCUGUAGGAGGCAGGAAAGAUUAAGCUGGGGCCAAAGAGGCAAGGGCCAGAAUGGGGAGAGACUAGCUCACAGUGAGGUAUUAUGGUAUACCCACUGGAAAGGGUCAUGGUGCCAAGUGUAGGUGAGGGUGUCAUACAGUGUGAGCUGUCAGAUGCUGAUACUGAACAUGAACAUGAAAAGAAGAAGUAGCUAUUAUGGAGUAAAGAGGAAGAUCCAUCUUAUAUAUCAGUAGCAAGAAGUUGAUAUUAUGUGCAUCCUGGGGGCUAAAUAAGAAUGUGCCUAGCAAUACUGUUUACAAUCAACAACAACGUUACUACCUUAUCAAGUUGAUGCUAUUCAGUAACCACAAUGAAUGGACUACAGUUACGAACACCAGACUGGAUUAGCAGCAGUCACUACUCGUGCACAGUGACUGAGCAAUGGGCCAUGAGUACAGAGAGGAAAUGAUGUUCCUUAAUUGAAACAUUUACAUGCAUCACAUGUGUGUCUAUGGAGGCAAGAAGAGGACACUGGAUCCCUGGAACUUAAGUUGGGAGCUGCCUUGUGGCUGCUGGGAACUGAACCCAGGACCUCUGGAAGAACAGCCAGCGCUCUUAACCGCUGAGGUAGUACUACAGCCCCUGACUUUUUAAUUAUAUUUAAUGUCAAUGACUUUAAAUUUAAAUAACCAUAUUAGCUAGAUAUUUACUAUGUUGUGGACUUGGUAUGACAGUGUAAAACAGCCAACUUACAAUUUCCUAUUUACUACAUGUUAAAAUGACAAUAUUUGUGCUAUCCUAACUUAAAGAGUUAUUCUACAUCCACACUUUGUUUCUAUUUAGCAUGCCUAUUAUCAAUGUUCUGAGAUGUUUUAUAUAUGGCUCAUAUUAUACUACAGGCUACAUUUGUUUCUGGGAUGAUUUUGCUGGGAGGUAUUCAAAACAGAAGAAAAAGGAAAAAUUAUUACUAUAAGAUUCUCUUUCUCACAUAUGGUAUGUAUGUAUGUAUGUAUGCAUGUAUGUAUGUAUGUAUGUGUUACACAUCUAACUCAGAAGUCAUGGACAUCAUGCUAGGGAAAUACACUGUCACAGACCACAUCCCAGUUCAACAGUCUCUAUUUCAGUGGAUGAAGCAGCAGGCUGUGAUCAGAACAAGGGUGCUGGCUACUGUCUAGGUCUAGACUUGAUUGGUGGCUUCACGAACUUUUGCUUUAUAACAAUAUGUGAAAGCAUCUGCCUUCAGGAUGUUAUGCUGUGUGAAGCACCGUGUGCAACAGAAUAAAAAGGCAACCACCGUGAGACUCUGGCCCCGAGGUUUAGCGGCAGGAAACUACACAAAGAAAUAGAAUGGCCAUUAUUUGGGCCUGGGAUGAGUGAGGGACAGAGGGCUUUUUUAAGAAACUCUAUGCAGAGGUUCAUGUUUGCAAGAUGAAAAGAAUUCUGAAGACGGGUGGUGUGAUGGCUGUUCAGUUGUGCGAGAAGGCAAAUGCUACGCUGUGUGUAGUCCAUACAACUCAGAAAGCGUGAGUGCACUCAGUCCAUCUCCUCCAUCUCUACUCUAACCCUGACUCCUCCAUGGAAACGUCACCUUCAAGGAUGGCAAGGACACACACGGAGUUCCAGCCCUGAGUCCUUUGCUGGAACCAUGUCCCUGGCAUGGCUUGCUCCCUUUCGCUUGUGGGGUAUUGGCAGUAGUAACAAGGACGCUACUUUGGUGAUGGAGAAGUCACACAUUAUUGGCGUCUAUUUGCCAGACACUGCUAAGAAUUAGAAAGAGGUUCUGACAUAUUCUUGUGGUGUUAAAAUAAGAGUGAACAUCGAGAACUGAAUCUGCCUUCUAGGAAGGUACAAUUGUUCCUUGGUAUACGGUGGGGUUUGGUCUCAGAACUCCAUAAAUGCUCAAAUCUAUGGAUAUUCAUAGUCUUUCUAUAAAAUGUGUACAUUUUGCUUGUAACCUAAGCAAACUCUCCUGAGUACUUUAAAUUGGCUCUAUGGGGUACAAUGGAAUCGCGAGGUAAAUCGCUGCUCUCCCUUACUGUUUCUGGCAUAAUGACUGGAAAUUUGCACCCCUUCAGUAUAAGCACAAGUUUCCCUCCCAAAAUUUCAAUCUGAGGUUGGUUGACUCCUUCGAUGUGCUGCCUAGCAAGAUGGUGAGCUAACACUAUAAACAGGCUAGCCUCCAGAAGGAGCCAGCCUACAGAAAUCACAGGGAGGACCUUUACCAGUGGAAAGCAAGGUGGUUAUUGUGGGUGUGCUGUUUAGUGCCAAGUGUCAGCUUGGCACAGAUUAGAGUCACCUGGAAAAUGACCUCAGAGUGACUGCCAAGUUAGGUGGGCCUGUGAGCAUGAGAUGAUGUUAAUUGAUGUGGGAAGACCCAGCCUAGAGUAGGUGCCACCAUUCUGUGUUUUGGGAUCUCAGACUACGCAUGCAUGAGCUCGCUGUCUCCCUGCCCUUGAGUGUAGGUGUGGCCAACUGCUUCACUGUUCCCUGCCUUGGUUUCCCCAUAAAGACACUGUGACCCAGAACUGUGGGCUGAAACAAACCCCUUUUGCCACCAACUUGCUUUUCCUGUGGUAUUUUAUUAUAAUAACAGAAAGGGAAGGAGGCUAAUCCCUCAUCCUUCUAUAGGUUUGUGUGAAAAGCAUCCUUGCUAAAUAGCAAUUUAAUAAAUAGGAGGGUAUAUAACACACACACACACACACACACACACACACACACACACACACACACACACUGAACCACCAUGGAAAGAGGCAAUGUGAGUGACCCUUUUAGGUUCAAAGCCUCUGCUCAUUGCUGCUGUGGCUUCCAGCAUCUAACCUGAAGUCUAGUAGCCAGUGAACCGCAAAAUCAACAUUGACUUGUUGGGAACAAAUAGUUUGCAUCGCCAGAUUUUUUUGUUUUGUUUUGUUUUUGUUUUUCAGAUUCUACCUUCUCUUAAGUCAGAUAUGUACUGAGAUGAAUACACCAUAACCAUUCUUUUACGGAGGCGAAGUUAUUCUCUGAGGUAAUCGUGAAGCUGAGUCCUAGCAAAGGUUUGUAAGGAGAUGCCUAGCAGACAUUUCUAGCAUGUAACAAAUGCCACCAGGGUCACCCAGAAUGAAGAACGAAUGCCCAGACUCACGGACAGUCCCUGUUCUGAAGGCCACCAGCUGGGCCUUUCUAGGCCAAGGACCUGGGCAUUGUUGUUGAAUGGAGGAGGAGGAGCGUUCAGAGAACUCCACUGGUCAUGUAUAAAUUUGGGAAGUCCAACAGGAUCUACGGCUACCGGUUGUUAACCAUGGAAAUGGUAUGGCCAACACUUCAAAGACUUAGUGUUUCUGGAGGUCCCAGCCAGGUAAGUUUGAGAUGACUCAGACAUCGGCAUUAUUGACGCCCAUCUAAGCAUCUAUCCUAGCAUGAGGUUUUCCUCUGGUUAUGCCAAAGCUCUUUCAUGUUCUUAUUUUGUGUUGAAUGAAAACAUCGGAAUUUCCAGAAUCCCGGAUAUCUGCAUUUGAAAGACCUCAAUGGGGGACUCGGAGGUCCUUGACUUUGCCGAGCUUCAGUAAGGAGGGACAUGUCUCCUCUCUUAGGACUGUUGGGAGGACUAAGUACAACCAUACAUGUCAGUCCUGGAACAAGGCCCUGUUCAUUCCUUCAUCAGUCAGAUUUUCCUCGCUGAGACCAGACGCCAGAGAGAGAAACUCAGAGGAGCAUGUUCCAAAGCUUCUGAGGCCUUGGUCUGAUUCUGGCGGAGCAGAGGGGACAGAGGAAUACAGGAGAGGCCCAGGGAAAGCAAGCAGUAGCACUGAGGACGACAUCUCCAGUGACCGCUGCCUCCUGACUUUCACCAGUUCCCAAUGAGGCCGUCUAUGUUAACGGCUCUGGCAGGGGAAUCUAUCCACUGACAGUGUUAGAGUCCUCAGGAUCGGAUCAUUCUCCCAGACCCAUCAGCCGGGAACCAAGUCACUAACAGUUCCUACUCGGAAGACUCCCCUCGUUUGUGGGAAUGAAAGCAACAUUCUGGUUUAAGUUUCAGAACAGAAUUCAGAGCCCUGAGAGCAUGCCUUGUGCUUUGAGAACAGAAAAGCUUAGGAACUGAGAGCUCUAAGUAGCCGGCCCCUGGGGGUGGAGGUGGGGGUGAGGACCAGAACAGCGCCUAAUUUUGAAGGGAAACAGGAAGAGGUCUGAGUCACACUCAUCAGCUCUCACACCGGGAUCUCCAGGCAGCUACUUAGUAACUUUUCUAUCCUCCUCCUGUGCUGUGAAUCAAAGAGCUUAAGAUCCCAGGCUCUGGAGCCAGCCAGAAUUCUGGUGUGAACCCUAGUCCUGUCACUUUCUGGUUAUGAGACCUUGAACGGAUUGAUUAGUACCUCGAUUUCCCCUGCUGUAAAUGGGAUCAGUAAUACUGCGGACGUUUCACAGCAUGAGGGUUGAGUGAGUUAAUAAAAUGUGUUCACAAGAGAGGGAAUGCUAGCCAUCACAGUUUUAGGGCUGAAAAUGGCAUAGCCUAAGACCAGAUCAUUUUUCACCUGGACUAUUUCAUCUGUCUGUCUGUCAUAUAGAUCUAUGCUGACAGAAGUUUUUCUUUUUUCUUUUUUCUUUUUUUUUGG